UCCUUUCUUGGUUUAUUACUAGUUUGCGCUUCCGUUGUUAAAUAAAUACACAAAAUUGAAAUUCCGAUUAUUUGGGUUAGGAAUUGGAAUAGAAAUUCCCUUCGAAAACCUUGUUUCCGAUCCCAAAUAUAUAUAUAUAUAUAUAUAUAAUAAAAUCAAAAUCUUUUGGGUAAUUAAAUUAAUUACCAGUGGUUUGCUUGGAUUCUCUAAGACGUCUCUUUAUCUCCUUUUCUUCCUUUC
rnacentral:lncRNA from 1 species